rnacentral:piRNA from 1 species
GCCUCAGACAUGGGGUGAGAGAG